GGAGGGAUCAUUACCGAGUUUACAACUCCCAAACCCCUGUGAACAUACCUAUACGUUGCCUCGGCGGAUCAGCCCGCGCCCCGUAAAAAGGGACGGCCCGCCCGAGGACCCCUAAACUCUGUUUUUAGUGGAACUUCUGAGUAAAACAAACAAAUAAAUCAAAACUUUCAACAACGGAUCUCUUGGUUCUGGCAUCGAUGAAGAACGCAGCAAAAUGCGAUAAGUAAUGUGAAUUGCAGAAUUCAGUGAAUCAUCGAAUCUUUGAACGCACAUUGCGCCCGCCAGUAUUCUGGCGGGCAUGCCUGUUCGAGCGUCAUUUCAACCCUCAAGCUCAGCUUGGUGUUGGGACUCGCGGUAACCCGCGUUCCCCAAAUCGAUUGGCGGUCACGUCGAGCUUCCAUAGCGUAGUAAUCAUACACCUCGUUACUGGUAAUCGUCGCGGCCACGCCGUAAAACCCCAACUUCUGAAUGUUGACCUCGGAUCAGGUAGG
rnacentral:rRNA from 2 species